rnacentral:lncRNA from 1 species
AUAACAGUAUAGAUUAAAGUAACUAAAAUCGUAUCAUUGAUGGUAAUUGCGUCAUAAGCAGAUUCAAAUGUGCCUGUAUCAUAUAAUUUAUUCCUAUCAUUGCCCACUUAUUUGAUGCUUGUUUGGGGGUUUUAGUGGGGCUACUACAAUUUGGAACAAAAUAUAUUGACAGAUUCUUAAUCCCUAUUGUUGGUGUUUAUAAUAAUCACUUUAAUGGUUUAAAUAUUUAUUAAAAAAAAUCAGUCAGGUGGUCUCCUAGUGUGUGUGUGUGGUUCUGACGGAGUCCUCGUUCUGUCCUUCAGUCAGGUGGUCUCCUGUGUGCGUGUGGUUCUGACGUUGUCCUCGUUCUGUCCUUCAGUCAGGUGGUCUCCUGUGUGCGUGUGGUUCUGACGUUGUCCUCGUUCUGUCCUUCAGUCAGGUGGUCUCCUGUGUGUGUGUGGUUCUGACGGUGUUCUGGUUCUGUCCUUCAGUCAGGUGGUCUCCUAGCGUGUGUGUGUGUGGUUCUGACGGUGUCCUGGUUCUGUCCUUCAGUCAGGUGGUCUCCUGUGUGUGUGUGUGUGUGGUUCUGACGGUGUCGUGGUUCUGUCCUUCAGUCAGGUGGUCUCCUACGGUUCUGUUCGGCUCAGGAGAGACCUGGACCGCUGCCUCUGUACCGAUCACCACGACGAUGGCUGUCUUCGAUACUGCUCGGCCAAUCGAAAGCGCUCAGAUUGGAAAACAUCUGAAGUCAAGAAACAGACCUCCAAACAACAGAACCGGCGCAAGGCAUUGUGGGAGAGAAACAACAGAACCGGAAUCGCGCGACCCAAGGAAGAGCGGCGGGAAGGAGAAACGCCGGUAGCUCAGAGGGCCACUUGAUGCAACCAACGGACGGUCAGCUGUCGAGCGUCCCUCUCUUUGUUUCCCAGACGAUGGUUUGGAAGUAACAAACGUCUGGUUUCACCGACACGUGGACAGAGCCGAAAUAAAUCAACCAACUUAUUCUCAAACAUGUGUUAUCUCUAUAAGCUGACAUUCCAAGCAUUUAGAGGACGGGAUGAUUGACUGUACUUAAUGGAUGAAUGACCAAAAUGGACCCAAAGUAUAUAUAAACUUACUUAAAAAGGACACUCACAGAACGGAACUCUGUGGCCUGAGGCUGAGACCAGACCGGACCACCCUGCGGCGGGGGCCGCGGACGCGUAUCACGGAAGAACGACAAACAGUUUAAAUUGCGGGACUAAACCGCGCGUCAAAACAGUGAGAAAGGGUGGACCGUGGACGGGCUGCUUUA